AGUGAACGCUGGCGGUAGGCCUAACACAUGCAAGUCGAACGGCAGCACAGUAAGAGCUUGCUCUUACGGGUGGCGAGUGGCGGACGGGUGAGGAAUACAUCGGAAUCUACUUUUUCGUGGGGGAUAACGUAGGGAAACUUACGCUAAUACCGCAUACGACCUACGGGUGAAAGCAGGGGAUCUUCGGACCUUGCGCGAUUGAAUGAGCCGAUGUCGGAUUAGCUAGUUGGCGGGGUAAAGGCCCACCAAGGCGACGAUCCGUAGCCGGUCUGAGAGGAUGAUCGGCCACACUGGAACUGAGACACGGUCCAGGCUCCUACGGGAGGCAGCAGUGGGGAAUAUUGGACAAUGGGCGCAAGCCUGAUCCAGCCAUACCGCGUGGGUGAAGAAGGCCUUCGGGUUGUAAAGCCCUUUUGUUGGGAAAGAAAAGCAGCAGGUUAAUACCCCGCUGUUCUGACGGUACCCAAAGAAUAAGCACCGGCUAACUUCGUG
rnacentral:rRNA from 1 species